rnacentral:lncRNA from 1 species
AGACUCUACCCUUUUAGUAAUAGGUCCACCAUAGAAAACUUUCUUUUGUCAAGUUUUAGAAGCUCUGCUACCUUUCCUAGUGUUGUAGUAUUUAAUCCUUUUAGUAAACCCGAUUUACAUUUCAUUCUCCAAAUAUUACAAGCCCUAUAAAACACAAAGAGAAGUGGUUGCAAGAAGACGAACCUUGCCUAACAAGGUCAUAAUCUUGCUCGAGUCUCUUUUGUCUGUACUUACAUAAAGUAGAUCUGUUGUUUUAUGCAUUUUUCAUGGUAUCUUACAUCAUUUUUUACUGCUUUUUGUUCAAAGUUUCAUCUAUGAUUAAUCUUGUUGAACUAAUUUACUUUGCUUCUUUAGUGUUAGCCAUAACCAAAGAGAUAAUCCGAAGGGCCCUGAAUUCCCCUUAAUUGGACAUAUGAUAUUAUGAAUAAAAGUCCUUGUUUACAAGGCAAGAAAAAGAAAUUUAUACAGACUUAACCCAUUUGUAACAAUCCAAUAGAAUGAAGAAGUCUAAGUAACUUGUGGUGCAAGUAAUCAACCCAAUUAAUAACCAAAAAAGAACAAUAUGUUAUACAAAGAUAACAGUGACAUGCUCAAAUCCAUAUUAGUUUUGAUUGUGAGCCUCAAGACCUAACAUAGACCCCACAAAGGCACCAUUCAAACUAAUAACAAACACAUAUUGCAGUACACCAAGCAGCAGACCUUGCCCGACAAGCAAGACCCAGGAGAGUUGUGCAAGGGACAGAUCUAGCCUGAAAACCACCUAAACAAUUGAGUACAAGUAGUUAGUUUUCCUUCCAAGUAACUAUCAUUUGAUAGACAUCAAUUUAUUUACUAAACAAAAAUGUGAUAGGCUCUUUUACAACAAGUGCAAGUGGUUGUGGUGGUGGAACACAUGUUCCCACUUUAGCUUCCCCCAGAAUUCACCUGUUGUGUCAAAUUUAUGUUCGUCUUCUGUUCCAAAAUGUUCAGAAACCAGUUGUGUCAAAAUUUGACACAGUACAAAAGUUUUGUGUAAUGGUCUUCGAAAUUCAUACUCAAUGUAAAAUAUAGUCACCACAUAUCCAAUGGAAACCAAGAAAAUCAAAGGCAAGAUGGACAUACCUUCCUCUCAGCACCCAACUUUAGCUUCCCCCAGAAUUCACCUGUAAUUACACAUUAAGAUAAGUGCAAUAAAUUUAACUUACUACCACAAAAUACCAGCAAACUGGUGGAAUUUAUUUUUGGUCAAUAAUUUAUCCACGGCAGAUGAAUAUAGAGUGUGUAUGUUAAAACAUACAAUGUUCGCCAAUUCCUUGCUUCUCCACUUUCAUUUUGUUAAACGAUCGAUUUAUUCGAUUAGAUGUUAGAUUAGAGAGUUGACAAGAUUUGAACCCAUGCCGUAGUGUAAAGGCAACACUCUUCUUCACCAUUGUGUUAGAGGGCCACUUGCUAUAUUUU